rfam:Ictidomys tridecemlineatus contig031204, whole genome shotgun sequence.
GGGAGUGUAGUUCAGUGGUAGAGCACUUGCUUGGCAUGUAUGAAGCCUGGGUUCAACUCCCAACAUACCCC